ACUAUUUUGGCAGAAAAAUGUAAUGGUUUUAGAGUCCAAUAAUAUAUAAUUUUAUUUAUAUAGAUAGUA
rnacentral:tRNA from 1 species